UGGUUAUGGGGCACCCAAAGGUGCUAUGGGGUGCCUUGAGGGUGUUAUGGGGGCACCCCAAGGUGCGACGGGGCACCCCGAGGUGUUUCGGGUGCGGAAGUCCUGGAGAUGCCCACAGGCAACGGGGUCAGGCCUUGGGCAUGGGGAGCACCCAUGGGUCACCGGGAGCACCCAUGGGUCAUGGGGAGCACCCAUUGGUCAACAAGAGCACCCAUGGGUCAUGGGGAGCACCUAUUGGUCAACAAGAGCACCCAUUGACCUUGAAGAGCACCCAUUGGUCAUCAAGAGUAAUAAUUAGUCAUGGCGAGCACCCAUGGGUCACCAAGAGCACCCAUUGGUCAUCAGCAGCACCCACCGGCCUUGAAGAGCACCCAUUGCCCUCGAGGAGCACCCAUUGGCCACA
rnacentral:lncRNA from 1 species